CAUUGGUGUAAGUGUAACAUCUCAGUUAAGUGGUUAGUCGCACUAAUAAGCCCACCCCGUUUGUGUCGUCGCCUGUCUAGCCUACUGCUAAUGGUUUAAUGCGCUUAAACCACUUUUCUCGCCGCGUUAAGCCACGCCACUCCUAGAAACUCCCCAGUCGAGGCGCCCGUGCAGAAAAUCGAACGCUUGUCCGUUCGGGUCCCCUGUUGCAACGUAUCCAUCCGAUUACGGAUUUCGAAGCCACCUUCCGCUUCGAUGAUUCAAACCUCUCCCGAUUGUCUGGUUCAUGUGAGAAUAUGAGGGAAUUGCCGUAAGCGUUUGCGUCUUGCCGCAAGGAUCCACGGGGUUUUGGUCCGAAGGCGAUCCAACCUAAGCGGGUUUUGAUGGGGGCUAGCUCCUGUUUCCUUCUCCGACGUAUGCAAAUGGACGUAUUAGCUGACAAUUAUCGAUGCCGAUGAGAAUUCGCGGUGUCACGUCGGAAAAAGAUCGCAACUUCAGACCUUCCAGAUGCUUAUACUUUCUAGACGCAGCAUCUACUGAGAACGAUUGUGAAGGUAACGACAGGUGUUGCAGAGUGUGUACCUUUUCUCACCGGUCCCUCUGAUGCACAACGGAUGCGGUGUCGCUUUAAGACCCAGUUCACCGAAAAAACUCUCUUCAAUAGACGUUUCCGUUGAACCACUAUAAAAACGCGCACGUCUUCACGGCCUUAUUGUCGCCAAAUACAACCACAGCACACGAGCUCAAUCAGGACGCUUUUCUAUCACGGAAAAAGGAGCAGUGCUGUGAAACAUUGAGAACGGAUGCGCCUAACACAUCGCUCGUUUUUAUGGACACUCGAAUAAUCUUUCAGAAGAAUGGGCAUUUGAGUUAUCAUCAACAAA